CCUACGGGAGGCUGCAGUGGGGAAUAUUGGACAAUGGGGGGAACCCUGAUCCAGCCAUGCCGCGUGUGUGAAGAAGGCCCUCGGGUUGUAAAGCACUUUCAGUGAGGAAGAACGCCUGGUGGUUAAUACCCAUCAGGAAAGACAUCACUCACAGAAGAAGCACCGGCUAACUCCGUGCCAGCAGCCGCGGUAAUACGGAGGGUGCGAGCGUUAAUCGGAAUUACUGGGCGUAAAGCGCGCGUAGGUGGCUUGAUAAGCCGGUUGUGAAAGCCCCGGGCUCAACCUGGGAACGGCAUCCGGAACUGUCAAGCUAGAGUGCAGGAGAGGAAGGUAGAAUUCCCGGUGUAGCGGUGAAAUGCGUAGAGAUCGGGAGGAAUACCAGUGUCGAAGGCGGCCUUCUGGACUGACACUGACACUGAGGUGCGAAAGCGUGGGUAGCAAACAGGAUUAGAUACCCUUGUAGUC
rnacentral:rRNA from 1 species